rnacentral:rRNA from 1 species
GCGCAGCAGGCGCGAAACUUCGCAAUGCGCGAAAGCGCGACGAGGGGAUUCCAAGUGCAUGCACUAAGUGUAUGCUUUUCGUGAGUUUAAAACGCUCACGGAAUAAGGGCUGGGUAAGACUGGUGCCAGCCGCCGCGGUAAUACCAGCGGCCCUAGUGGUGAUCGUUAUUAUUGGGCCUAAAGCGUCCGUAGCCGGUCCGGUAAAUCUCUGGGUAAAUCGUUGGGCUUAACUCAGCGAAUUCUGGGGAGACUGCUGGACUUGGGACCGGGAGAGGUCGGAGGUACUCCAGGGGUAGGGGUGAAAAUCCUGUAAUCCUUGGGGGACCACCGGUGGCGAAGGCGUCCGACCAGAACGGGUCCGACGGUAAGGGACGAAGCCCUGGGGCGCGAACCGGAUUAGAUA